rnacentral:rRNA from 1 species
CCCUUAGAUGUCCGGGGCCGCACGCGCGCUACACUGAAGGAAUCAGCGUGGCUUUCUCCCUGACCCGAAAGGGUUGGGAAACCCGUUGAAUCUCCUCCGUGAUAGGGAUUGGGGCUUGAAAUUGUUCCCCAUGAACGAGGAAUUCCCAGUAAGCGCGAGUCAUAAGCUCGCGUUGAUUACGUCCCUGCCCUUUGUACACACCGCCCGUCGCUACUACCGAUUGAACGGUUUAGUGAGGGCCUCGGAUUGGUCUCGGCCCGCUCUUUACCGGGCGGCGCCGUUGGUCGAGAAGACGCUCGAACUUGAUCGUUUAGAGGAAGUAAAAGUCGUAACA